GAUGAACGCUAGCGGCAGGCCUAAUACAUGCAAGUCGAACGGUCCGCUUCGGCGGAUAGUGGCGCACGGGUGCGUAACACGUAUGCAACCUACCUUACAUUGGGGGAUAGCCUUUCGAAAGGGAGAUUAACACCGCAUAAGGCAGUAGCUGGGCAUCCAGCAGCGGUUAAUGAUUGACCGAUGUAAGCUGGGCAUGCGUCCAAUUAGCUAGUUGGUGAGGUAACGGCUCACCAAGGCAAUGAUUGGUAGGGGAACUGAGAGGUCAAUCCCCCACACUGGCACUGAGAUACGGGCCAGACUCCUACGGGAGGCAGCAGUAGGGAAUAUUGGGCAAUGGACGCAAGUCUGACCCAGCCAUGCCGCGUGCAGGAUGAAGGCGUUAUGCGUUGUAAACUGCUUUUAUACAGGAAGAAACGACUCUUGCGAGAGGCAUUGACGGUACUGUAUGAAUAAGCACCGGCUAACUCCGUGCCAGCAGCCGCCGUAAUAC
rnacentral:rRNA from 1 species